GACGAACGCUGGCGGCGUGCUUAACACAUGCAAGUCGAACGAUGAAGCGGUGCUUGCACCGUGGAUUAGUGGCGAACGGGUGAGUAAUACGUGAGUGACCUACCUUUGACUCUGGGAUAAGCCUGGGAAACUGGGUCUAAUACCGGAUACGACCAAUCUCUGCAUGGGGUGUUGGUGGAAAGCGUUAUGGAGUGGUUUUAGAUGGGCUCACGGCCUAUCAGCUUGUUGGUGAGGUAAUGGCUUACCAAGGCGACGACGGGUAGCCGGCCUGAGAGGGUGACCGGCCACACUGGGACUGAGACACGGCCCAGACUCCUACGGGAGGCAGCAGUGGGGAAUAUUGCACAAUGGGCGCAAGCCUGAUGCAGCGACGCCGCGUGAGGGAUGACGGCCUUCGGGUUGUAAACCUCUGUUAGCAUCGAAGAAGCGAAAGUGACGGUAGGUGCAGAGAAAGCGCCGGCUAACUACGUGCCAGCAGCCGCGGUAAUACGUAGGGCGCGAGCGUUGUCCGGAAUUAUUGGGCGUAAAGAGCUUGUAGGCGGUUGGUCGCGUCUGCUGUGAAGGCCGGGGCUUAACUCCGGUUUUGCAGUGGGUACGGGCUAACUAGAGUGCAGUAGGGGAGACUGGAAUUCCUGGUGUAGCGGUGGAAUGCACAGAUAUCAGGAGGAACACCGAUGGCGAAGGCAGGUCUCUGGGCUGUAACUGACGCAGAGAAGCGAAAGCAUGGGGAGCGAACAGGAUUAGAUACCCUGGUAGUCCAUGCCGUAAACGUUGGGCACUAGGUGUGGGGGACAUUCCACGUUUUCCGCGCCGUAGCUAACGCAUUAAGUGCCCCGCCUGGGGAGUACGGCCGCAAGGCUAAAACUCAAAGGAAUUGACGGGGGCCCGCACAAGCGGCGGAGCAUGCGGAUUAAUUCGAUGCAACGCGAAGAACCUUACCAAGGCUUGACAUGCAUUAGAUCGCGUCAGAGAUGGCGUUUCCCUUCGGGGCUGGUGUACAGGUGGUGCAUGGUUGUCGUCAGCUCGUGUCGUGAGAUGUUGGGUUAAGUCCCGCAACGAGCGCAACCCUCGUUCUAUGUUGCCAGCGGUUCGGCCGGGGACUCAUAGGAGACUGCCGGGGUCAACUCGGAGGAAGGUGGGGAUGACGUCAAAUCAUCAUGCCCCUUAUGUCUUGGGCUUCACGCAUGCUACAAUGGCCGGUACAGAGGGUUGCGAUACUGUGAGGUGGAGCUAAUCCCUUAAAGCCGGUCUCAGUUCGGAUUGGGGUCUGCAACUCGACCCCAUGAAGUCGGAGUCGCUAGUAAUCGCAGAUCAGCAACGCUGCGGUGAAUACGUUCCCGGGCCU
rnacentral:rRNA from 1 species